AAGCAAAUUAGUGGGUGAGAGACCAGAUACGUGGGACGUAUAUCUGGAUGCAAUUAUGUUUGGAUUGCGCACAAAAAAUCAAAUCACAACUAAAUUCUCACUGUACUUCCUCAUGUUUGGAGGCCCGCUACCCUUCUGAGGUGCCAGAACAAUACCAGGUCAUCAAUGGUUAUUUAACAGUUUUGGUGAGAAAGUACAACAGCAGAAAUGCAGACUGUGCCACUUUGAUUGACAGCUAUACAAUGAGUAACAUCUGGAUGGGUAAAGGAUCACGGCUAAAGGUAAUGUACCCACAUGAGAAACGGUCCCUUUAUUUGGAUCCUUUGGGAGGAUCUCCAAUUAAAUUGAGGAAAUGCUUAGAAUCGACAAG